AUCUGAUCCAAGUACCCAGAUCUUCUGAAUACCCAUCUGUGAAAGUGGAUUUGCUGCACUUGUUGAGCUCAAGAUAAAGUACCAAAAUAAACUGGAUGUAAUGCCAGAUGUGAGGUCAUAACUUCCAUCAAGUCAAUGUGACUUUAAUGCACUCUUUUUGCUGAUGCAGCUACAUCCAUCUCCUCAAUAUUUCUCAAUGAAAAGGUCUGGACUCCUGUACUGCAGAGCUUAUAUCCCUUAUUGGCUUGCCCGAACCUGAACCUGUGGACUCUUGAAACACCUAGUGAAGCCUGCCUGCCCUGCAGGAGGAUGAGGAGGCAGAAGAAGGGAGAGUUACUCCAAGGAAGCUGCUUUUCUGUUGGAGUUUCUGCCAAUAGCUGUGCUUACUUUGGUCUUCAUCAGCACGAUACUGGAGCACUGCACAUUCACAGUGGACUUUAUCUUCACAGCACCUAGGGGAGAAGGGCAAAACUAUCCUGAGUUUGUAAAGCUGAGGCAUAGGGUGGAUUAAAUGAUUUAC